CAAUAGCGUAUAUUAAAGUUGUUGCGGUUAAAAAGCUCGUAGUUGGAGUUCUGCCAGGUGACGCUCGUCCGCCCAAGUGGUGUGUACAGGGCGUGCAUCUGGCCCUUUCAAGGGGAACGUGUCUGCACUUUACUGUGUGGUGCGAGAUCCUUGACUUUUACUUUGAGGAAAUCAGAGUGUUCCAAGCAGGCUCUCGUCGUGUAUAGCUCAGCAUGGAAUAAUAGCAUUGGACUUCGUUUCUAAGCUGUUGGUUGCAAGAAGCGAGGUAAUGAUGAAGAGGGAUAGUUGGGGGCAUUCGUAUUUAACUGUCAGAGGUGAAAUUCUUGGAUUUGUUAAAGGCUAACUUAUGCGAAAGCAUUUGCCAAGGAUGUUUUCAUUAA
rnacentral:rRNA from 1 species